ACUUGAAUUGCAAGGAAUAGUUCUGCACGGUCUUUCGCAGUGAUGUUUGUUGGUAAAUGAGACCUUUUAGCUAUGCUCAUCUUCGACCUACGUGAAUCAAAGAGGGCUUUGACUGAAGGCACGUUGUGAUGAAGUCACAUAACUCGUCUUGGCCCAAAUCUGUGAAAAUCUGAGGUAAUUUUGAAAAAUUGUAAGCUCCAAAGAUAUGUUGCAGUGUUUGUGUGAUUUUGCUUUAAUUUCUGUGAUCGUAAAAUCCUGGAGGGUCUGCAUAGUCAAAAAGUGCAGUUGUGUAACCAGGAACUUGUGAGUAUAUGAGCAACUUAUGAAUAUAAGCAGAGUGAUUUCUGAAUUCAUUAUAUACUCAGCAAAAAAAGAAAAGAAAUCUACACAUCAAAAAAAAGUGGUUUCAGUUCAACUAAGCUACUUGGGUGAUAAGAUAUAUAAAUAAAAUGACUCGAAUUCUAAUUCUUGCAGAUGUGCGAUGUCCAUGUAAAUGCACUCAUCAUUAGCUGAUCAGCUCAAUCAUGUGUACAGAAAACUUGAAACCCUGUAGGAAUCGCCACAACAAUGAGCAUCCUUCGACUGUACAUGCCAACAGAACAGCUGGUUCGGGGGGAAAAUGUGGGGGUAGCAGCGUCUCUCAUCGCUCUCUCCUCUUUUCUAUCCCUCUAUCCUUCAUUCUACUCACUCCAUAUUCAGUGUUUGGAUCCAGCCCUGUCUUCCUCUUUGCUCAGCAUCCGAAAAGCAGGAAGCCAGACAAAAUAAGGUGCAUGAGGGAAAAAAAAAGCCUCUAAGUAAACUUCCAGGUUCUAUUUCUUCAGCUUCCUGCUGGGAUUGUGUUGCCCGAGGCUGUGGGAAACUAGAUUUGGGUGUUUCACUCAGCACUUCAAUCCAUGAGAUCCGUCACUGAACGGGCCUCCGGGGUCCAUUGUGUGGCUCUCACAGCUGAGCGUCGAGAGAGGCUCGCUUGCAUGUGUGCGUUUGUGUUUGCAUGUUAUUGCGUGUUCUGCAACGGUGACUCACUUUUUCUCAGUGUCCAGUCAGUGUGUUUAAGUGUUUAAAGUAAAACUCCACCCUGAAAUAUGUUUAUGUUGGAAUAUUUGUUGGUUGGUUGCUAUAUUUUCGUUAUUCCUGUGAGACGUUAGCGGUUGUGUGCUAGCCU
ensembl:lncRNA